AUGGAGAGAACCGAAACUUUUGUUAGUCAGACGGAGCAGAUCAUGGAGGCGGCGGUGGAAUCAGCCGUGUGUGUUCUCGCUGAGGGGACGAGGGACCGCCCGGAGAGACGGGAUUUGCUGACCUCCGUCCUCCACGUGGUGACCAGAGAGGCUGGUCGUAAGAUCUGCAGAGUAUUCAGAGAGCUCAUUGUUAGCUUAGUGAUGGAAAACGAAGCUCUGAAGCGCAAAGUGGGACAUUUGGAGAGUGAACUGAAGUCAAAGGUAGAGAAGCCUCAGACGGUUUAUAAGAUCAAAUCAUCAGGUGAGUCAAGGCUCACUGAGCAGAUUACAUCUUUGUUCAUGGAAACUAUGAAGCGUUUUAAAUUUAGUUGGAUCAAUAGGGAAAACUGUUGGUGUAAAUACAUUCUGAGGAGUGAAGGAACCAAAGGAAGGAAGUCCGCCCGCACCCAAAGUUGUUGAACUCAGUUUCUCUUAAUGCUUCACGGGUCUAGGUAGAUUGACCUAUUAGGGAACGGUUUCACCUAAUGAGACUUUAAAUCGCCUCUAUCAGAAUGUAGUGACCUCAUAGACUGUACGUAGUAACAUAGGGACCUCGUAGACCAUAGGUAUUACUUUCUAGACUCUACAUAGGAACGUGGUGACCUCGUAGCCCGCUAGUGUUGCCACCAGAGAAAAUACCAGCGGCUCAACCAACUUUGCAAUAAAUCGUUUUCUGAUCUAACUUACGACUCGGCUCCUCUCUUGGGCACAAGUUGUGUUGGUGCAUCUCUGGUCUCUCGUUGUUCCUCCCGUAUCGCUCUUUUCCAUGUAGCAAGAGAGUUCAUUGUUGUUGUGAGCUGUACCCAGCAUGCAGUUCGGCGGGGGUCAUUUUUAUAAAUGUACAAUUAUGUGUUACAAACUGUUUAUGUGUCACAAGUUGUUGUGUUUUACCCUGUUAUGGAGCGUUUGUUGUGGGUUAUUGAUUGUUGUUAGCCCUACGGUGACCUCAUAGACUGUAUGUAGGAAUGGUUUCACCUUGCACUUUACGUAGCCACUUUAGUAACCGCACAAAAGUUUGAUUCUGUAAACAGUGUUUUAUCACUCAAAGAUAAA
ensembl:lncRNA